AAAUUGAAGAGUUUGAUCAUGGCUCAGAUUGAACGCUGGCGGCAGGCCUAACACAUGCAAGUCGAGCGGAAACGAGUUAUCAGAACCUUCGGGGGACGAUAACGGCGUCGAGCGGCGGACGGGUGAGUAAUGCCUAGGAAAUUGCCCUGAUGUGGGGGAUAACCAUUGGAAACGAUGGCUAAUACCGCAUGAUGCCUACGGGCCAAAGAGGGGGACCUUCGGG
rnacentral:rRNA from 1 species